AUUUAGUAUUUAAACAUUAAAAAAAUACGAAGUGUUCAUGUUUUGUACGUUUUAUUUCAAUCCGAUAAUCAUAAUUGUUAUUAGUUUUUACACUUUAGAAGUUCAUUGCCGUAUCAUUAUAUGCGACCUAAACGUAAAAACAAAUUAUUAUAAUUGUUGAUUCGUAAUGUGAUAACUCAUUCUGCCGACUAAGAUCGUUUCAAAUGUAUCCACACAAUCAAUGGACAUAUUUUAUAGUGGCCGCUUUACCAUAAAAUAAUUGACGGCGAUUGCUCUAUUAAAAUGUUUAGCUAAGCCUUAUGUUUCUCAAUACCGCAUCAAACUGGUCCGUCAAAACAACUUUUAACAAUGUUUAAAUAGUUAAUUUAAAAAAGGUGUCGAAAAUAUGUGUCGUAUUUUCUCACUAUUGAAUAUUAUUAGCUACGAAAACGGGACAUGUCCUAUGUUAAGACGAGGACAACUUCUCGAAAUUGCCGAUUCAUUUAUACUUUAAACAGAACAAGCAGUUUUUUUGGUAUAAAUUCUACCUACAACAGAACAACACUAUCUUAAAUAACCUCAAAAGAUUUACCAUGAUCACCAGAUGUAUGGUUCAUGGCAAGUUACUAACUUUCCAACCGUCUUAUAGAACUUUCCGGGCAUUUGCAAUUUCUACUCUUUCGUUGAACGUCCUUUUUCCAAAAUUAAUUAAUUUGUAUAUUGUGUUUACUUUGUCGAACUGUUCGCUGUUUUUCAUAACCGAAAAUAUUUAACAUCAAGUUCGACAAAAUAAAAAUAUUAAACAAAGAAACUUAUCUUGGAAAAAGCGUUCAAAGAAGCAAUAGCAAUUAAAAAAAUCCUAAAGAAAAGAAGUACAUGGCUCAUAUUAUGAAGUUAUUUGAAAGAAAAAAGAAACAAAUCAAACCAACUGACCACUACCAAUUAACAGCAGAAACAGCUGUUGAUCCAUCAUAACUUCGCCGAGAAAACACUGUUGCAACCACAGACAUAAUAAUUACCGGUAGGAAACAAGUGAUGCACGCAGUAUAGUCACGAAAGUUCAACGGUGAGAGAUCUCUGAAGAUGGAUCAUCAAUGUGUUUAAAAAGCCACUUUCACGUAACUAAUAACAACACGGAUAGAUCCGAAAAUCACCAAACUAAUAGUCCAGUCCGCGAUAAUGUUUAUUAUUUUCUCUAAUAAUCUAAGUUAUUAUUUAAAAAAAAAAAUGUAGUUAACAUUUAGACGGCCUUGUAUUAAUCGUGUUUAAAUUGUUCUAUUAUUACUCGAAGUAAUCAUUUUAAUUAAGAUUCACCUAUUGGACGAGAACUGGCAAGAACGCAAAAUGUAUUUAUAAUAAAGCCUGACCAAGAUAUGCUCUAUCCCAUAUAAAAGCGACAGAGUGUGCAGAAACCAA